GAACUGUGAUAAGUAAUGUGAAUUGCAGAAUUCAGUGAAUCAUCGAGUCUUUGAACGCACAUUGCGCCCCCUGGCAUUCCGGGGGGCAUGCCUGUCCGAGCGUCAUUGCUGCCCUUCAAGCCCGGCUUGUGUGUUGGGUCGUCGUCCCCUCCGGGGGACGGGCCCGAAAGGCAGCGGCGGCACCGCGUCCGGUCCUCGAGCGUAUGGGGCUUUGUCACCCGCUCGAUAAGGACCGGCCGGGCGCCAGCCGGCGUCUCCAACCUUUUUUUCUCAGGUUGACCUCGGAUCAGGUAGGGAUACCCGCUGAACUUAAGC
rnacentral:misc_RNA from 1 species